CUCUCUCCAGGACCAGGCUUCUUUAGAGCUCUGAGAACAGCCAAACAGCAAAACAGGUUUAUGGCGAGGAAAAUGAUGAAGUGAACCAGGUAACAACGGAGCAUGCGACUUUGUAUCUGAGAUGUUUGAACUUCAGAAAGGUUAUAGGAUGAACCACCGCCAGGUCCAGGCUUCUUCAAAGCUCUGAGAACGGCCAAACAGCAGAAUAGGUUUAUGGCGAGGAAAAUUAUGAAGUGCACCAGAUACAGGCAUUUAUAAUGAUGUAAAAAACACGGAUUUACAAGUUGCAGAGAAAACACACAACAUCCAAUAAUCAUUAUCCAGGUAACAAUAGAGCAUGCUACUUUGUAUCUGAGAUGUUUGUACUUCAGAAAGGUUAUAGGAUGAACCACCGCCAGGUAACGCUCAACACAAAGAAGACACUGAAAGAAACGACCAGUGAUGACAAAUCCUGACAAAAACAUCAUAACGCUCCAGAGCCUUGGAAAUACAUGGCCAAGCACAGCACUGAAUGAGCGCAGACAUAACAUGAUCUCACAAACAGAGAUGUUCAGAGUGAAGAAUUCAGAUGCAAUUCCUCUUCCUGUCCCUGUGAGAAUAAGCCACAGAAUAUAGGAGUGUGUAGGAAGACCAAACAGGAUGCUGGUGACAUGUAAUACAACAUCAUAGGGUGCCAUGUAAUAAUAUCUGGAUAUAUCAGUUAUGUUACAUGCUCCAUUUGUUGGAAGUGUGGCAGUUUCAUCUGAGAUGUUCAUCAUAUGAGUGUGUUUGCAUUCACCUGAACAACAGCAACAAAAAAUAUAAAUAAGACUUUAAUCUGCAGAAAACUAUGGAAGCUAGUUUUUGCCACAGAAUA